CAGAGGUCUCAACCGUUGUUCGGAUUCAUUGGGCGUAAAGGGUGCGUAGGCGGCGGAGUAAGUCAGGUGUGAAAUCUCGGGGCUCAACCCCGAAACUGCACUUGAUACUGCUUCGCUCGAGUACUGGAGAGGAGACUGGAAUUUACGGUGUAGCAGUGAAAUGCGUAGAUAUCGUAAGGAAGACCAGUGGCGAAGGCGAGUCUCUGGACAGUUACUGACGCUGAGGCACGAAGGCCAGGGGAGCAAACGGGAUUAGAUACCCCGGUAGUCCUGGCAGUAAACGGUGCACGUUUGGUGUGGGAGGAUUCGACCCCUUCCGUGCCGGAGCUAACGCGUUAAACGUGCCGCCUGGGAAGUACGGUCGCAAGAUU
rnacentral:rRNA from 1 species